rnacentral:lncRNA from 1 species
CUGUCUUUUUUUUUUUGCCAGCUGCAAGCUUUGCAGGCCUGUGUCAAAGAUUUUUUUGCAAUUCUCAUGUUAUCUUUUAUAUGAACAGAGAACCAACCAAGUUUAUCUUCAAAUAAAUAGUCGAGCUACCUAGAAUCUCCUAAGAAAUUAGAGGAAAAUUAUAAAAUAUGAAGGUAACUCCCAAAAAAUCAUCACUAGUCUGGCAUUCUUUCAGAUGAACAAAUACCUUCACUUAAACAGAAGUUUGGCUUCAUACUGUUGCAUGAAACGUGAUACUAGAUAAAAAAAUUAGCAUACUUUGUUACUUCCUCCGUUCCAAAUUGUAGGUCGUUUUGGCUUUUUAAGGUUCAUAGAUAUUAUUAUACAUCUAGACAUACACUAUAUCUAGAUGCAUAGUAACAUCUAUGAACCUAGAAAAGCCAAAACGACCUACAAUUUGGAACGGAGGGAGUACAUUUAAUCUAAUAGUAUCACCAGGUCCUAGGAGGGUAAAACUGAUCAUAUCGACAUAAAAAGUGUAUGCUGUGCUUCUUGCACAGUAUUUUCUGUUACAAAAAAACUUUACACUACUGGAUGAUGUUAAAUUCCUCCAAAAAUCUGCAGAUUUAGUCCAUUAGACCAUGUCCUUAUGGCCUCUUCAGGAAAAUGAAAUGUCAAUUAUUGGACUGAAGUGUAAUUAAAA